AUUGAACGCUGGCGGCAGGCUUAACACAUGCAAGUCGAGCGGAGAUGAGGUGCUUGCACCUUAUCUUAGCGGCGGACGGGUGAGUAAUGCUUAGGAAUCUGCCUAUUAGUGGGGGACAACAUUCCGAAAGGAAUGCUAAUACCGCAUACGUCCUACGGGAGAAAGCAGGGGAUCUUCGGACCUUGCGCUAAUAGAUGAGCCUAAGUCGGAUUAGCUAGUUGGUGGGGUAAAGGCCUACCAAGGCGACGAUCUGUAGCGGGUCUGAGAGGAUGAGCCGCCACACUGGGACUGAGACACGGCCCAGACUCCGACGGGAGGCAGCAGUGGGGAAUAUUGGACAAUGGGGGGAACCCUGGUCCAGCCAUGCCGCGUGUGUGAAGAAGGCCUUAUGGUUGUAAAGCACUUUAAGCGAGGAGGAGGCUACUGAGACUAAUACUCUUGGAUAGUGGACGUUACUCGCAGAAUAAGCACCGGCUAACUCUGUGCCAGCCGCCGCCGUAA
rnacentral:rRNA from 1 species